GCUUAAUAUGUGAUUUAAAAAAAAAACAAAUGGCUGAUCUCAAGUUUCAGUUGUCUGAAAAGGCUAUUGAACUCCAGUGCAAGAAAAAGAAGAUUGAAGAAACUGAGAAUGCCUUGAAAGACUAGGCACUACAUUCUCAUAGCAAUGAACAGAAAGACUCGCAAAGCAGAAUACAUAUUGGCUGGCCAAGAGACCUCUCAGCGAUUAAUAUGCUGAUUUGGAAAAACAAAUUGCUGAUCUUAAGUUUCAGUUGUCUGAAAAGGCUAUUGAACUCCAGUGCUAGGAAAAGAAGAUUGAAGAAACUGAGAAUGCCUUGAAAGACUUGGCGCUACAUUCUCAUAGCAGUGAACAGUUGGCCAUUGUCGAAGAAAGAAAUCGCGAAUUUUAGGGCAAAUUUGAUGAAAAGGCCCAGGAACUUGAAGCUGCUCUGGUUUGUCUAGAGAAUUCGCAACGAUUAAAAGCCGAUCUCGAUAAGGAAGUUGCUGAUCUCAAAUGCCAGCUUAUGUCAAAGUCAAUAGCACUCCAGUAGAGCGGAUGGAAGAAGAAAUGGAGAGAGCCUUAGAUGAAUUGACACAAAAGUCUCUUAACACUGAGCGGGCAGAAUCUUGCCGAUCAUAAGUGGACAUGCCGAGACAAAAAGAAAAGUUGGAGAUAGACGCUUUGAAAACAUCCUUAAAUUUAAAGAAUUUAGAACUUGAGAGUAUCAGCGGUGAAUACGAAGAGGCCCAGAAGAUAAUAGCGUCAUCGGAAAGAAAGAUAGCCGAUCUCGAAUUAACCGUCAGCCUUCUGGAAAGAAGAUUGGAAACAGAACGUGAACAGGCUUCUUUCUCUAGCCAACAACCUGUGAUCAAGGCUGCCGUGGAACCAGCACGUUCGCUUCGGCCCAUUUUGAAGCAAACAUUUUCUUAUGUCAAACAACAGGAAUUGGCUUCACACGAUGCAAAGACACCGUUUUAGCUAUAAAAAAAGAAAGCUAAUGCUAUUGUAAGACCCUAUUUGUUGAUGUCGUGCCGUCGCAAACUUGAUGCCAUGAAUGAUAUGAAUUGAUGAUGCAAUACAAUGAAUUAUGCAAACAGCGUAUAUUUUUUUAA
rnacentral:lncRNA from 1 species